GCUAGAACGUCACAAUUUACCGACUGCAGCUUUAAGCUAUCUAUAGACAUUUUCUUGAAUAAUCAUAUCAUCCAAAGGGAAAAGUCACCCAGAAUAAAAUGUGAAUAACCACACGUAUAUUCUGUAUUUCAAAUCAGUCUUUCACCCUGGACUAUCUUUCCAAGCGGAGAUUUUGGAGCAGGCUAAUAACUUGGAGAAGCUAAAAGUUUUCAUCUAUGUAAACACCACAGAGUUCAUCGUCUGGUUGCGACUUGACAUGCGACUGUAGUCGAGAGACAUAUUGGCUGUCAGGAAAAAAAAGAUGUUUGAUGGACAUACAGGUGUUGCGGUGGAAUUCCCAUCUCCGUCUUCACUCUCAUUUACGAGACCCCCAUAAAUCCAAGCGUGUUUAUCAUUUCCAUGCAAUCAGGAGACACAUUUAUGAACAGUGGAGAUCUGAAAGACGGGAAUUAGGCACUUGAACCAACUGAGUGAAAGACAAAUUUUUGUUGACGUCUUGAUGAAAGCAUCAAAGUAGUGGAACGGUUCUCAUUUGAACAGUGCACUUCCUGAAGGUGGUCAUAAACCAAAGUCUGGAAACAAAGAUGGUCGGAAUUAAAAAAAAGAAAAAAUCAAAAGGGAUAUUCUCUUCUGUUGCAGUAGUGUUUAAUCGUUCCCAGAGUGCUUGUGUUUCACUGACAUCUGUACUCUGAAUGGUUUAAAGCAUUAAUUAACAAUAUCAAUGUUUGAUCUGAAUUGCAGUAAAAUGUAUUCAAGAUGCUGAAUUACUUUUUUUUAUUGUUAGCAUUCAUAUUUUUAGCCCUAAAUUCAGAUUCCUUUGAUUGUGAGGUUAUUGAUUAAUUGAUUUCAAUUAAAUGACCUAGCCAGAACUCUAACUAACCAUAACCCUGACUAAUCCUAACCCUAAGGCUAGUAUUUACUGGAAAAUCAGAUGGUGUAACAGAGUUAUGGAAUUGAAAAUCAGGAUUUUCAUCAGUGUUUUCUUCCAUAUAGUGGACUUCAGUGGGACCCAACGGGUGAAGGUCCAAAGUGCAGUUUCAGAGCAGCUUCAAAGGGUUCUACAGGAACCCAGCCAAGGAAUAUGUGUUUUAUAUAGAGAAACGAUCAGUCAUUUUCUUUUAAAAAUGUAUAUACUUUUAACCACAAGUGCUUGUUUUGCACCCAGCUCAACUUCAUGCAUUAUGUUAUCACGUUGGAAAGGUAAUGUGUGACUUAAGCAGAAAUACUGACUCGGUGUAUACAAAGUGAAUGUGCAAAGAAAGUCAAACAGCCUUUACAAAAAAAGAUGUUUUUCAUCCUACCCUACCUUUUUUGCACAGCCGAAAAA